rnacentral:piRNA from 1 species
UCCCGGCCACCGCUAGAUCAGGAUUCUGAGC